AUUGAACGCUGGCGGCAGGCCUAACACAUGCAAGUCGAGCGAGCGGCGGACGGGUGAGUAAUUUCUGGGAAACUGCCUGAUGGAGGGGGAUAACUACUUGAAACGGUAGCUAAUACCGCAUACCAUCAGAUGUGCCAAGAUGGGAUGAGCUAGUAGGUGGGGUAACGGCUCACCUAGGCGACGAACCCGAGCUGGUCUGAGAGGAUGACCAGCCAACAUGUAACUGAGAAACUGUCCAGACUGCUACGUGAGGCAGAGGUGGGGAAUAUUGCACAAUGGGCGCAAGCGUGAUGCAGCCAUGCCGCGUGUGUGAAGAAGGCCUUCGGGUUGUAAAGCACUUUCAGUGGGGAGGCGUUACCCGCAUAAGAAGCACCGGCUACCUCCGUGCCAGCAGCCGCGGUAAUUC
rnacentral:rRNA from 1 species